rnacentral:rRNA from 1 species
UGGGGAAUAUUGGACAAUGGGCGCAAGCCUGAUCCAGCCAUGCCGCGUGAGUGAUGAAGGCCCUAGGGUUGUAAAGCUCUUUCACCGGCGAAGAUAAUGACGGUAACCGGAGAAGAAGCCCCGGCUAACUUCGUGCCAGCAGCCGCGGUAAUACGAAGGGGGCUAGCGUUGUUCGGAUUUACUGGGCGUAAAGCGCACGUAGGCGGACUUUUAAGUCAGGGGUGAAAUCCCGGGGCUCAACCCCGGAACUGCCUUUGAUACUGGAAGUCUUGAGUAUGGUAGAGGUGAGUGGAAUUCCGAGUGUAGAGGUGAAAUUCGUAGAUAUUCGGGGGAACAACAGUGGCGAAGGCGGCUCACUGGACCAUUACUGACGCUGAGGUGCGAAAGCGUGGGGAGCAAACAGG